rnacentral:rRNA from 1 species
CCUACGGGCGGCAGCAGUGAGGAAUAUUGGUCAAUGGGCGCUAGCCUGAACCAGCCAAGUAGCGUGAAGGAUGACUGCCCUAUGGGUUGUAAACUUCUUUUAUAUGGGAAUAAAGUGCAGUACGUAUACUGCUUUGCAUGUACCUUAUGAAUAAGGAUCGGCUAACUCCGUGCCAGCAGCCGCGGUAAUACGGAGGAUCCGAGCGUUAUCCGGAUUUAUUGGGUUUAAAGGGUGCGUAGGUGGGUUGUUAAGUCAGUUGUGAAAGUUUGCGGCUCAACCGCAAAAUUGCAGUUGAUACUGGCAGCCUUGAGUACAGUAGAGGUAGGCGGAAUUCGUGGUGUAGCGGUGAAAUGCUUAGAUAUCACGAAGAACUCCGAUUGCGAAGGCAGCCUGCUGGACUAUAACUGACGCUGAUGCUCGAAAGUGUGGGUAUCAAACAGGAUUAGAUACCCCUGUAGUC